rnacentral:tRNA from 1 species
GGGCGAGUGGUGGAAUUGGUAGACACGCUAGUCUUAGGAACUAGUGACGAAAGUCGUGAGGGUUCAAGUCCCUCCUCGCCCACCA